AAAAUAUCUUCAAAAAGUUUCAGCCCCUGAACCUAGGACCAGAGAAGAGUUCUUGAAAUAUUCUGUACCACUCACAUUGGAUCUUAACACAGCUAACAAAUAUCUACGUCUAUCUGAAGGGAACACGAAUGUGAGCCAGGUUUACAGGGCCCAGCCCUAUCUUCUCCAUCCCAGGUGCUGUGUAGGGAGGGUCUGUCUGGAGCCUGCUACUGUGAAGCAGAAUGGAGUGGAAAGGAUGUGACUAUAGCAGUCUCCUAUAAAGGACCCUUCAUUGUGGAGCUACAGGGAGAAUACAGGACCCUCACCUUACUGUGGAGCUACAGGGAGAAUACAGGACCCUCACUUUACUGUGGAACUGCGGGGAGAACACAGGAACUUCACCACCAAUAAUAAUAAAAUAAAUUGUACCAAACAUAACAUUUCUCAAACAUAAUACAUUAAA